GUUUUUAUCCUGCCGUUGUCCUUUCAUGGCUUUGCGCGCGGAGCUUCCCAGGAGCCCGGCUUUUCCCACCUGUCACUACCCGCGGGCUGCCUCGUCGUCGCCCAACUUUGAAGGCGCUAGCUCUGCCGCCGCACCCCCCUGGCGCGUGUCCUCGGCGCGUUUCUGAAAGGGAAGGCGAGCGCAGAGGAUACAGAGAGAGAGAAAGAGAGACCCUCUCUCCCGCCAACCCGCGGAGUCCCAGCGGCACGGGGCGCCCAUGGCAGCACCAUUGGGCAGACUAUCUUCUCCCCGCCUGCCCCCUCAGCUUCCCGGUGGAGCGCUUCCCAGCCUCUUUGCAGCCGGAGACUGGCAGCUGCGGCAGCAAGACCAGACGACCAACGGUUUCUGAACGCCCCGCGGGGUCAGUCUCUUCUCAGGGCGCCCUGACCGGGGGAGGGGAAGCCCGCCCGGCGACUCAGCGUCGCGCCCUCUCCUUGUCAGUUUGGCACGAACCAAUGCAGAUGCCGCCCAGGUUUUAGCGGGGCUAUUUCAGACAGCUGGGGGAGUUUGGUUUGGAGGGUGGCGGUGGGGCUAGCUCUGCGGGAGAUCCUUCCUGGUCCAUCCAUCACCGCCAGACUUCUCCAUCACGGGCACUUCUUAGACGUGGGGUUUGAAUUGCUCACUGAUCUUCUUCGACUGCGGCUUUCCCCCGGGUGUCAUGCAGUCCCUCAUUUCUCCUGUGACCAAGGCGAUUCUGGUGGCUUUGUUCAUCUUCGCCAUCCUCCUCAUCCUCUAUGUGAUUCUGUGGUACAUCUGCCGAGAUGUGGAUUGCGAUCAUGGGAUCUGAUGUGGCACGCUGCUGGGCAAAGGCUUAAGGGACGAGUUCUUAUUGCGUGGCGAACUGUAAGGACGGCUCGAAAGGAAAAAAGAGCGGGGGAAGAGGUGGUAAGGGAAGGGGGGAAAUAACGGCGAGAAAUCAGAACCAAGACUUCUAGAGCCUCUCAAGAAAAACUACCAGCAAAGCUAGCCCGAGACUGACCUUCAGAGAUCAGGGCGACCGGAACCCCAACAGGUACCUCAUCUUGGGAUACCAGGCACAAAUACCAACCUGAAACCUCCACUGCUACAACUGGGACUGCAUAUCUCCACAUGACUGCUGUCCCACAUGGAAAGGACCUUCUCCCACAUAUCUUUCUGUGUAGGCCAGGAGGGAGGCCCAACCCACGACCAGCAGCAGUAUCUCAGAACUCUUCAAGCUGUUCCUCCAUGCUGAGGCUAGCCUACUUGCUCCAGGCAGGCUCCUGAUCCCUUGCCAAUUCCAUGAAAGUUAUGCAAUAGGUAAUCAAGUAAAAGUCCUAAUGUGGAACUGCACCCAUGAGAGAG